UACGUAGGGGGCUAGCGUUGUCCAGAAUCAUUGGGCGUAAAGAGCGUGUAGGCGGCUCGGUAAGUCCGCUGUGAAAGUCCAGGGCUCAACCCUGGAAUGCCAGUGGAAACUGUCGAGCUAGAGUCCGGAAGAGGCGAGUGGAAUUCCUGGUGUAGCGGUGAAAUGCGCAGAUAUCAGGAGGAACACCAAUGGCGAAGGCGAGUCCCUGGACAACUCCUGACACUGAUGCACGAAAGCUAGGGGAGCAAACAGG
rnacentral:rRNA from 1 species